rnacentral:rRNA from 1 species
UGUGUAGGAUAGGUGGGAGGCUUUGAAGCGUGGACGCCAGUUCGCGUGGAGCCAUCCUUGAAAUACCACCCUGGCAUGCUUGAGGUUCUAACUCUGGUCCGUGAUCCGGAUUGAGGACAGUGUAUGGUGGGCAGUUUGACUGGGGCGGUCUCCUCCUAAAGAGUAACGGAGGAGUACGAAGGUGCGCUCAGACCGGUCGGAAAUCGGUCGCAGAGUAUAAAGG